rnacentral:rRNA from 1 species
AACGUACGCAAUCUACCCAAAACUGAUGAAUAGCCCUCCGAAAGGAGGAUUAAUACAUCGUAACCUAAUUGAAUGGCAUCAUUUAAUUAGUAUAGCUCCGGCGGUUUUGGAUGAGCGUGCGCCUGAUUAGGUAGUUGGCGGGGUAAUGGCCCACCAAGCCUGCGAUCAGUAACUGGUGUGAGAGCACGACCAGUCACACGGGCACUGAGACACGGGCCCG